rnacentral:rRNA from 1 species
AGGACGAACGCUGGCGGCGUGCUUAACACAUGCAAGUCGAGCGGAAAGGCCCUUCGGGUACUCGAGCGGCGAACGGGUGAGUAACACGUGAGUAAUCUGCCCUUGACUCUGGGAUAGCUCCGGGAAAACCGGGAUUAAUACCGGAUAUGACUGCCUUAGACAUCUUUGAUGGUGGAAAGUUUUUCGGUCAGGGAUGAGCUCGCGGCCUAUCAGUCUUGUUGGUGGGUAAUGGCCUACCAAGGCGACGACGGGUA